rnacentral:rRNA from 2 species
GGGAGGUAGGCGCGGCUACCAUGCAAGUCGAACGCCCCGCAAGGGGAGUGGCAGACGGGUGAGUAACGCGUGGGAACAUACCCUUUCCUGCGGAAUAGCUCCGGGAAACUGGAAUUAAUACCGCAUACGCCCUACGGGGGAAAGAUUUAUCGGGGAAGGAUUGGCCCGCGUUGGAUUAGCUAGUUGGUGGGGUAAAGGCCUACCAAGGCGACGAUCCAUAGCUGGUCUGAGAGGAUGAUCAGCCACAUUGGGACUGAGACACGGCCCAAACUCCUACGGGAGGCAGCAGUGGGGAAUAUUGGACAAUGGGCGCAAGCCUGAUCCAGCCAUGCCGCGUGAGUGAUGAAGGCCUUAGGGUUGUAAAGCUCUUUCACCGGAGAAGAUAAUGACGGUAUCCGGAGAAGAAGCCCCGGCUAACUUCGUGCCAGCAGCCGCGGUAAUACGAAGGGGGCUAGCGUUGUUCGGAAUUACUGGGCGUAAAGCGCACGUAGGCGGAUAUUUAAGUCAGGGGUGAAAUCCCAGAGCUCAACUCUGGAACUGCCUUUGAUACUGGGUAUCUUGAGUAUGGAAGAGGUAAGUGGAAUUCCGAGUGUAGAGGUGAAAUUCGUAGAUAUUCGGAGGAACACCAGUGGCGGAAGGCGGCUUACUGGUCCAUUACUGACGCUGAGGUGCGAAAGCGUGCGGAGCAAACAGGAUUAGAUACCCUGGUAGUCCACGCCGUGAACGAUGAUGUUAGCCGUCGGGCAGUAUACUGUUUCGGGUGGCGCAGCUAACGCAUUAAACAUUUCCGCCUGGGGGAAGUACGUCCAGAUUAAAACUCAAUGAAUUGACGGGGGCCCGCACCAAGCGUGGGAGCAUGUGGUUUAAUCCGAACCAACGCGCAAGAACUUUACAACUCUGACCAUGCGGAGUAUCGGCAAUGGAAACCAUUCCUCAGUUGAGGCUGAGCCAAACAGUGCGUGACAUGCGUUGCUCACUCUUGUCUGGAAGAGUGUCUCGUGUAUACGCACGGAGGCAUACCUCGCGUAAUGCUCAUUAUGGGGACAUCAAUGAG